UACGGAGGGUGCAAGCGUUAUCCGGAUUCACUGGUUAAAGGUGCGUAGGUGGCAGGUAAGUCAGUGGUGAAAUCUCCGGGCUUAACCGGAAACUGCCCAUUGAUACUAUCUGUCUUGAAUACCGUGGAGGUGAGCGGAAUAUGUCAUGUAGCGGUGAAUGCUUAGAUAUGACAUAGAACACCAAUUGCGAAGGCAGCUCACUACGCGAAUAGUUGACACUGAGGCACGAAAGCGUGGGAUCGAAACAGG
rnacentral:rRNA from 1 species